GACGAACGCUGGCGGCGUGCUUAACACAUGCAAGUCGAACGGUGAAGCGCCUUCCUUUUUGGUGGGUGUGGAUGAGUGGCGAACGGGUGAGUAACACGUGAGUAACCUGCCCCCUUCUUCUGGAUAACCGCAUGAAAGUGUGGCUAAUACGGGAUAUUCUGGGUCUGUCGCAUGAUGGGUCUGGGAAAGAUAUUGUUUCGGUGGGGGAUGGGCUCGCGGCCUAUCAGCUUGUUGGUGGGGUGAUGGCCUACCAAGGCGGUGACGGGUAGCCGGCCUGCGAGGGUGGACGGUCACACUGGGACUGAGACACGGCCCAGACUCCUACGGGAGGCAGCAGUGGGGGAUAUUGCACAAUGGGCGCAAGCCUGAUGCAGCGACGCCGCGUGAGGGAUGGAGGCCUUCGGGUUGUGAACCUCUUUCGCCAGUGAAGCAGGCCUGCCUCGUUUGUGGGUGGGUUGACGGUAGCUGGAUAAGAAGCGCCGGCUAACUACGUG
rnacentral:rRNA from 1 species